rnacentral:rRNA from 1 species
AGUAAUGCUUGGGAAUCUAGCUUAUGGAGGGGGAUAACUACGGGAAACUGUAGCUAAUACCGCGUAGAAUCGAGAGAUGAAAGUGUGGGACCUUCGGGCCACAUGCCAUAGGAUGAGCCCAAGUGGGAUUAGGUAGUUGGUGAGGUAAAGGCUCACCAAGCCGACGAUCUCUAGCUGGUCUGAGAGGAUGACCAGCCACACUGGGACUGAGACGCGGCCCAG